GCUGGGCACAGUAGCUCAUGCCUGUAAUCCCAGCACUUUGGGAGGCUGAGGUGGGAGGAUCGCUUGAGCUCAGGAGUUUGAGGCUGCAGUGAGCCAUCAUCAUGCCACUGCACCCCAGCCUGGGCAAUAGAGUGAGACUCUGUCUCAA
ensembl:misc_RNA Metazoa_SRP Metazoan signal recognition particle RNA